UACGAAGGGAGCUAGCGUUGCUCGGAAUCACUGGGCGUAAAGGGUGCGUAGGCGGGUCUUUAAGUCAGGGGUGAAAUCCUGGAGCUCAACUCCAGAACUGCCUUUGAUACUGAAGAUCUUGAGUUCGGGAGAGGUGAGUGGAACUGCGAGUGUAGAGGUGAAAUUCGUAGAUAUUCGCAAGAACACCAGUGGCGAAGGCGGCUCACUGGCCCGAUACUGACGCUGAGGCACGAAAGCGUGGGGGAGCAAACAGG
rnacentral:rRNA from 1 species